CAUAUGCUUGUCUCAAAGAUUAAGCCAUGCAUGUCUAAGUUCACACUGUCUCACGGUGAAACCGCGAAUGGCUCAUUAAAUCAGUCGAGGUUCCUUAGAUGACACGAUCCUACUUGGAUAACUGUGGCAAUUCUAGAGCUAAUACAUGCCUAUGAAGCUCCGACCCUCGUGGAAAGAGCGCUUUUAUUAGUUCAAAACCAAUCGCCGGUCGUCUUCGGGCGGCCGGUGUCCCCAUUGGUGACUCUGGAUAACUUUGUGCUGAUCGCAUGGCCUUCGUGCCGGCGACGCAUCUUUCAAAUGUCUGCCCUAUCAAAUGUCGAUGGUACGUGAUAUGCCUACCAUGUUUGUAACGGGUAACGGGGAAUCAGGGUUCGAUUCCGGAGAGGGAGCAUGAGAAACGGCUACCACAUCCAAGGAAGGCAGCAGGCGCGCAACUUACCCACUCCCGGCACGGGGAGGUAGUGACGAAAAAUAACAAUACGGGACUCUCUACGAGGCUCCGUAAUUGGAAUGAGUACACUUUAAACCCUUUAACGAGGAUCUAUUGGAGGGCAAGUCUGGUGCCAGCAGCCGCGGUAAUUCCAGCUCCAAUAGCGUAUAUUAAAGUUGUUGCAGUUAAAAAGCUCGUAGUUGGAUCUCAGGUGCAGGCGGACGGUCCGGCUCGCGCCGGUUCACUGUCCGUAUUUCCUGCCCUACUGGUCUGCCGGCUCUCUCCCGUGGGUGCUCUUCGCUGAGCGUCCCGGGUGGCCGGCGCGUUUACUUUGAAAAAAUUAGAGUGUUCAAAGCAGGCCUCGGCUGCCUGAAUAAUGGUGCAUGGAAUAAUGGAAUAGGACCUCGGUUCUAUUUUGUUGGUUUUCGGAACUGGAGGUAAUGAUUAAAAGGGACAAACGGGGGCAUUCGUAUUGCGGCGUUAGAGGUGAAAUUCUUGGAUCGCCGCAAGACGAGCUACUGCGAAAGCAUUUGUCAAGAAUGUUUUCAUUAAUCAAGAACGAAAGUC
rnacentral:rRNA from 1 species